rnacentral:rRNA from 1 species
AUUGAACGCUGGCGGCAGGCUUAACACAUGCAAGUCGAGCGAGCGGCGGAUGGGUGAGUAAUGUCUGGGAAACUGCCUGAUGGAGGGGGAUAACUACUGGAAACGGUAGCUAAUACCGCAUACCAUCAGAUGUGCCCAGAUGGGAUUAGCUAGUAGGUGGGGUAAUGGCUCACCUAGGCGACGAUCCCUAGCUGGUCUGAGAGGAUGACCAGCCACACUGGGACUGGGACACGGUCCAGACGCCUACGGGAGGCAGCGUUGGGGAAUGUGGCACAAUGUGCGCUAGCCUGAUGCAGCCGUGCCGCGUGUGUGAAGAUGGCCGUCGGGUUGUAAAGCACUUUAAGCGAGGAGGCGUUACUCGCAGAAGAAACACCGGCUAACUCCAUGCCAGCAGCCGCGGUAAUAC